UGAGGCCUACGGGGGGCAGCAGUGAGGAAUAUUGGUCAAUGGUCGGGAGACUGAACCAGCCAAGCCGCGUGAGGGAUGAAGGUACAGAGUAUCGUAAACCUCUUUUGUCAGGGAACAAAGGCGGGGACGCGUCCCCGGAUGAGUGUACCUGAAGAAAAAGCAUCGGCUAACUCCGUGCCAGCAGCCGCGGUAAUACGGAGGAUGCGAGCGUUAUCCGGAUUUACUGGGUGUAAAGGGAGCGUAGACGGCAUUGCAAGUCUGAUGUGAAAGAUUGGGGCUCAACCCCAGGCCUGCAUUGGAAACUG
rnacentral:rRNA from 1 species